rnacentral:rRNA from 1 species
GCGUGCGCAGGCGGUUUUUGUAAGACUGUCGUGAAAUCCCCCGGGCUCAACCUGGGAAUGGCGAUGGUGACUGCAAGGCUAGAGUUUGGCAGGAGGGGGGUAGAAUUCCACGUGUAGCAGUGAAAUGCGUAGAUAUGUGGAGGAACACCGAUGGCGAAGGCAGCCCCCUGGGUCAAAACUGACGCUCAUGCACGAAAGCGUGGGGAGCAAACAGGAUUAGAUACCCUAGU